GGGCCAUAGGGCAGGGUGCUAUGACGAGUGUUGCUGCAGAAGAGGAAAUCAAGAGUAAAGGGGAAGAGGCAGUGAUAUGAGAAAGCUGGACAAUUAGACAUGAUGAGAUUGACUCUGAUUUCCCUCACCGUGUGCCUUCCUCACCUCCUCGCCACUCUUGUCUUCCAUUCUACCACUGCGGCUUCACCAAGCGCCACAGAAACAACAACAACAGCUCUAGACCUUAGUAUCAGCACUACAACAUCAGACCCCCGUAUACUUCCACUCUCCACAACUGAAAACCACCCUGGUAGGACUAGUGGCACGUUCAACACACAAGUGAAGAAAAGCGCUAGUUUAGCAGCUGUCAACAAAUCAGGCAGAACGACUCAAGGAAGAGGCAUUCUCAGAACAGGAACUGCCACUUACGCCACCACAGCCGUACAGAAGAACAACAGGCACACAACUGCAGGAGACUUGAGGAGGGAAACAGAGAGCCACAAUCACCAUGAGACUCUUCCCUUCAGCAGACACAAAGUCUCACCCACAACUGACCACCCCAGCACCACCUCUCUCCCCGGGGAGGAAGGGACUGAGUAUCAUGACAGCAGCACCACUGAAACAGCCAGAGAACGGAGCACACCAAAUUCCAUAGAGACAUGGGCUGCUGACACCAUUAAUGACUCCAGGCUAGCAAAGCCACACUUAGACAGGUCACAAGCAGCAGACCAGCACACUGCUACACAAGGACUAGAGAUUGCAUCAGGAGAUUACUACACAACACAGAGAGACUUCUUCACAAACACCCCAAGUAGUAGAGUGACAGCUUUGAACAGGGGUAAACAAAGUAAGGCCAACAGCUUCACAACAACAACAACGUUUUCACCUACGUACACAGUCACACAUCCUGGUUUGUAUGAGCACAUGACUGUGACUUACAGGGCUAGCGGCUACAAAACACAACCUGACGACACAAGCCAGUCUAUGGACAACCAGGACCACACCACAGCCACAGUUUCGAUCCCCCAUGCUGACAAUAGGACAACUCCAGAUAUCAAUGCAAACACGUUUACAGAUAAUGACACAGACAACUACACAGACACACUUUCAUACAGUAAUACCACAACCUCUAAUAAUCGUAACACCACAGUACUUUUGAAGAAGAAAACUCAUUCAUUCAGACACAACCACACAAUCUCAGGUUAUAACAAGAGGCUGAACAACACAACUGAAAACACUGUGCAUGAUCGCCCUGAGUGCGGAGAGGCAGACGAAAGGUCCCUAUCGUUGCUUCCUGGCUCUACUAGACUGGUCUGUUUCAUUGUUCUGUGUGCUCUGGGAUUGACUGCUUCUGUCUUCCUUGGGCUCACUGUCUUCCUGUGGGUGCGUUUGUCAGUCCAGAGAGAGAGGGAAAAGAGAGUGAGGAGAGGAGGAGAGGAGGUGUCAGGGGUGGAUCUGGAGAACCUGUGGGUUGACCAGAUGUCAUCGGUGGAGGAAAGGGUCGAAUUCUGGUACACCAACGGCUCCACCAUGGGACCCGACCAUAAACGGAGGGAGAGAGGGAGAGAGAGGGGGAAGGAGAGGGGGAGGAGGGAGCAGGGGAGGCAGAAAGGGGUAGAGUGUGACAACCUGUGGACUCAACCCAAAGUGACACUGGAGGACAUCACUGAUUUCUGGUAUGCAAAUGGAAGAGCGAUACCAGAAGAAACUACAGACCAAACGUUGUUGGAGACCUGCGUAUGAUUCUGUUUUUUUGUACUACAGUCCUACAAUUUCCCUGGAAUUACUUUGGAGAGAAAUGUUCAUCGUUAUUUGACCAAUUCCAUGUCAGAUUUGAACACUGUAAUACUGACCGAGUUUAAACAUUUCCAAAAUGAAUUGGUAAUCAGUAUGUUUAUUGGCUGUAACAAAAGUAUAAGUAUAUGUUCUACAUAAGUCUACUGAAAGAUGGAUUAAGCCUGGGUCUGAACAGAGAGAAAGAAGAGGACAGAGAGAGAGAGAGAAGGAGAGAGAGGAAUAGAGAGAGAGUUUAGAACAACAUGUCUAACUGGAAAUAAGACUUGAUAAGAGAGUUUCCAUUUCAAGACAAUUCAGACCCUGUUAGAGACACAUCAUCAUCGUGUGUCAGACAGCAACGAGGAUAUAGGUGCCAUUUCUACAAACACACGGACACAAAUACGGUUGACUCCUAAUACUGUACAUGCACUGUUAUUAGGAGCUAGUCAAAUAAUUGUAAUUAUUUUUUAUUUGACCUUUAUUUAACCAGGUAGGCUAGUUGAGAACAAGUUCUCAUUUACAACUGCGACCCGGCCAAGAUAAAGCAUAGCAGUGUGAACAGACAACAACACAGCCAGAGAACAUGGAGUAAACAAUAAACAAUAAAACACAAUAUGCCGUCUACGAUCAGCAUAUCCCAGGCAUUUUAACUGGGUUUCUCAUAACCGGGACACAAGCUUAUUUGGGUUAUUGUAAAUGGGAUAUGAUGCUAAUACGCGUCAACUAAAAAACGGAAUACUAGAAUAUCCCAAAUAGUGAUGGAAUAUUGGUGUGCCUGUGAACAUGGUAACUUAUCAGGAAUCGACUAUAGGUCUACCUCACAAUUGAUAGUGGAUCCGGCCAUUUGAUCAAUAAUGUAUAACUGUAAUGUUUAAUACAGUAGAAAAUACACCCUUGUAGAAUUUAACACCUAACCAGCUGAAGUUUGACAUAUAACGUCCCAAGACAUGAGAUGUAUUUUUUAAUUACAUAAUCAAAUGGAAUUUAUCAUCAUUAUCUCUCUCUACUUUGAAUUCUCAUGUUUUGACAACCUACGCCCUUUGACUGCCUGCUCCCCACGCACACACACACACACACACACACACACACACACACACACACACACACACACACACACACACACACAGUCAAACAAACACACAUCCAAGUAGGCCUGUGUGUAGGCGUGCAAACACACUCUGUGGCUCAAACAUUUCAACACACACACCUUCUCUUUGUAGGACCAACUUCUCAUUUUUCCUCGAGAAAAUAAGCACAUGACGCAAUAAACAAAAUGAAGCUACUCUUAAGUUAUUUGGCAUCUCUCCAACCCCACCUCUUUUGCAGUUAACAAAACUGUUUUACGAAGAAUUUGAUACUCUGAGGGGAAGAGAAAGGGAGGGGGAGAGAAAGAAGGGAGUGAACAGGAGGGAGCGAGCGAGCGAGAGAAAGGUGUUUUGGACAUGUACUAGUGCACGAGAUGUCAUUCACACAGUACAGGAGUUAAAGCAUGUGCCUUUAAGGUGGAUUCACAAUUUCAAUCCAAUCGUUUUCUCCAUGCAACAUGUGGGUGUGUACUAAGCAAGCAUUUUACAUCUACAGCGGUUCAGACAGUGGAUGCUGUGAGGAGGUCUCAUGCUUUUUUUAGUUCACCGUCGCUGCCAUCUCUCACGCUACCCUUGAAAUAGACAGCUGAUAUACAGAAAAGUAGAGUGAAGUGCGAGAGAGGAAGAGAAGGGCUGUGUCUUUCCGGUCUAUUUGCACCCAAGGACACCCUAGUGAACAACAAGCCCAGCAACCAGGAGAGACAGCAAGAGAACAAAAGUUUGACUAUGUAAGAGCACUUCAUAUGCCUAACACUCAGUCAAACCUUAGAUUAUUAACAAAGGCAAGGCCUGAAAGAAAGGGGAAUUCCGAGAGCAGUGAAGAUCAAAGCCUGAUGAUCGUAGUCAGACCAAGAACCCCGGGUACCUGAUGACAGAUACCGCUUUUCUUUUCUAGGGUGUACAUUUUUCUGCUCUAGACUUGUAAAACAAACCUCCAAUAUCUUUCAAGCCACAACACUGUCGCUGAUGCACCUCAGAAAGAGGAAGACAAACGUAAUCUGAGAGAUCAGCAAAACCCUUUAGGGACAGUUGACCUCUGUGACCCCUCUCACUUCUUGCCCAGUAUGGAGCGGAUACGGCUGAUGCUUGGGGCUCUGCUCCUCUCCCUCUCUCUGCCCAGUCUCCCUGCUCAAGAUAAUGUCACUGUCACUGUACCUGAGAAUGUCACCAUGGCAGCACCUAUUAAUGAGGAAGUCACGAUGGCAGCCUCUACAACGGAGGCCACCAUAGAGACAACGUCUGUUCCUGUGGUCAUCACUAGGGCACAGCCUGCCCCUGAAAUUAUCACCCCGGUAACUGCUACUCCGAAAGUAACAUCUGUUUCAGGACCUAACACCGAUGCCAUCACUAUGGUAAUAACAAACCCUGAGAUCAUCAACGUUCAGGAGUCCACAUCUGAUGCACCAACUACUACUUCAGAGGCUGAGACGAUGACACCUUCCCCAGUGACCACUGAAGGGCCAAUAGAUACGACCACUCCACCUGGCCCUAAACCCACCCUCUCCCAAGAUGUCCUUACAACCGCCUCUUAUCUCCCAACCACUUCCCAGGACCACCUGACUUCUGUUAUCCCAGUCUGGCCCAUCCACACCACCACUCGUCUGAGGGAGGACUCCACUUACACACCUGAACCUACACCUGCCUCAGAGAUUACUGUCUGCCACACAGAGGGACUUACCACUGCACCCACCUCCCCAUCGGUCAAUGCCGCCCCCGGCCAUGCCACGACCCCCACUACCACCCACACCUCCACAGAUCCAGACUCUACGGUGGCUGGGGUCAGAGUGGAGACAGGUCAGCCCAGCUUGUUAUGGGUCAUCAUCGUCGCUCUCCUGAUCGGGGUUAUAUUCACGGGCGUGGUCUACUGUGUAUGUCUGGUCAUCAGACGAAAGAGGCAGAGCCGCACCGAGCACUUUGUGUCCAGCUUCCGGAACGGGAAGAGUUCCAAGCGGAAGAAAGGGGCGGAGGAAGACGCCUGGGCAGGGCCAGUGAAGCUAGGGGGUGGGAACAGGGAGGAGGAUGAGGGUGGGGAGGAGGGAGGGAGCCCAGAGGACAACAAGAGAGAGGGGGCUGGAACGGAUGUGGUGCUGAGCACAUUCAUUGCCAACGAGACUGAGGGAGAGAGGGGUGGGCCUGAUGGGGGAGUAGGAGUGGCUGGGAGCAAGGAGGCAGAGAAAUGGGAGGAGAAGGAGCCUCUGCUGUACAUUGAUGAGGGAGUGGAGGAGGGACAAGAGAGGAUGGCUCCUCCUUCACUUUCAAAAUCGAACCCAGAAAAGACAGGAGGGGAAAGAGGAGAGGGGGAAAAUGAAAAAGAAAUGGAGAGGGGAGAAGGGAAUGGAAAUAAAUAAAAUUAGAGUGAAAGAGGUAAGAAGAAUGGAGGAGCGGCAUUCUGUCUAACCACUGCAGUUUAAAAAUAGAAGAGUUUUCCAUAAAAAGUUUUUCUAUGUGAUAAUGUAAAAGUUACAAAUGGAGAGGGGAGAAGGGAAUGGAAAUAAAUAAAAUUAGAGUGAAAGAGGUAAGAAGAAUGGAGGAGCGGCAUUCUGUCUAACCACUGCAGUUUAAAAAUAGAAGAGUUUUCCAUAAAAAGUUUUUCUAUGUGAUAAUGUAAAAGUUACAAAUAUCUUUGUACUACUGAAAAGGCCUUUGACAUUGUAUGUAUCUGUGAUUGUGUGCUCUGUCAACAUAACUCAGGGAAGAUAGAAGUGGUUGUGUGUAUGGUCAUAAGUUUUACCCUUGGUAUUUUGUAUGCUGUUUUGUCUAAAAAAUGUUUUGUUUAAUAAAGUUUUAGAUGUGCAUGUUCUAGAAUGAAGGUGUUGAACGUGACAGAAUAUUAAUACUCUUUGCUUAACAAUUUGCGGUCUUCAAAUGCACUUAAAUUUUGGAACUGCUUAAAUCAAUAGCACUCAAUUCAUAGGUGCAAAUCUGAACUUCCACUGAGACAAAUUUUCACUUAGUCUCCCAUUGACAUCAAUGCAUGACUAAGUGAUUAUUCAACUUCAGUGGAAGUUGUCAUUGUAAAUAAGAAUUUGUUGUUAACUGACUUGCCAGGUUAAAUAAAAUAAAAUAAAAUAUGUGUUGCCGAUUAUGGCCACUA